rnacentral:lncRNA from 1 species
ACAUAGCACCGCAUUGUGCAAAUAUGGGGUUUCAAACCCUCAGUAUAUCAUUCAUAACCAUUACUCACCUCAAACCGGCCAAAAUCCUAGCUCGCAUGCGCUUUCCUUGCAAAUCUACCUCCUCAGGUGAAGAAUCUAAUCAAAACCACAAGGAAUAUGUUAUAAUAGGCUAAUGGGUCAUAACCCAAUAGAAAAAACUGAAAGAUCACCCAAAAACACGAAGUUGGCAAAACCCGAGCCCCGGUCCCACUUAUUAAAAAAUUACAAAAUUCAUAUCACCAGAAUUCUCAUCUCUGCACGAGUUCGUACAUAUCAAAUUUACAAGAAUCAGAGUCCAUUUGACCCAUCAAAUCAACACUUUAAGUUCACUUGAGUUUCAAGCCCUAACAACCAUUUUUAACUUCAAAAACCUUGAAUUCUUUGUGUUUGAUCCAUGUUUUAACACGAUUAUGACAUACUCUAGCUCCAAGAAUCCAUACCUGAUGUUUUCCCCAAAAUCCUCUUCAAAAUCGCUCCCAAAUUUUCCUUAGUCCGAGGUCCAAAUGUUCUUCUCUUUUUCAAACUUAUGAAAAAUCACUAUUCAUUAAACUUGGUCGAUUUCCGUUUCAGCGGCACUUUUUCCGCUUCAGCGACUCCCGCUUCCGCGUCCAUUUGACCGCUUCUGCGGUUUGACUAAUAUCCUUAGCGACCGCUUCUGCGGUCCUUGACCACUUCCGCGACCUUCACCUAUGCGGUCACAUGACCGCUCCUGCGGUCCCAGCCUUUUCCUCAGCUUUCGCGGUAGCCGCUUAAGCGGCUCCUCUUCCGCAAAAGCGGAAAUACUAGAAGCCUUUAGCUCUCUUCAUGCAAUAAAUUCCCAAACCUCUGAGCAACCAUCCGGAAUCACCCCGAGGCCCCCGUGGUCCCAACAAAAACAACCAACCUACUCCAAAACAUCAUAAGAACAUGCUCCAAUCAGAGAAACACAACCUUUAACACGAAAGUCGUCAAAUCAAGAUGGAUUCAAGCCUAAGUUCAACUAUAACUUCCGAAAUUCAAAUUCGAUCUAAAACCCAACCAAACGACGUCGAUUGACCUCACAAUUUGCAGACAUAUCAAAAAUCAGUGAACGAAGCUACAACAACUCUCGGAAUUUCAUUCCGUCCUCCUCAAAAUCUCACCUUUCAAUCAGAAUUUUGCCGAAGUUUAAACUCACCCAAUUCAAGCCUAAUUUUACACCGGACCUCCAAAUUCAAUUUUGAUUUCACUCCCAAGUCAUAAAUCACCACCCAAAACUAGUCGAACCGUCGGAAAUUCAUUCCUAGCCCUAUAACUCAUUGUCAACAUCCGGUUGAUUUUUUUAAAAUAGCCUUCUCUUAAAGAGACUAAUUGUCUCAAUUCCAUCCAAACUCUAACUGAAUCACUCCAAAAUCUACCAACACAUAUAAUGAAGCAUACAGAAGCAUAAAACUGGGAAAACGGGGCCGUAACGCACAUGACGACAGGCUGGGUCGUCACGUCCUCCCCAACUAAAUCAUGAGCUCGUCCCCGAGCGGGUCAAGAAACAUACCUGGAGCCUCAAACAAACAAGGAUAUCUACUCCGCAUCUCUUGCUCGGUCUCCCAAGUGGCCUCCUCCACGAGCUGAC